AAAUCUGUAUGUUAAACAGAUCUCCAGGUGGUUUGUACACAUUAAAGCUUAAAUAGCAUUGUUCUGGAAGACAACUUACUCAGUGAUUUAUUGAACACUGGAGAUAGAGAGGCAGUGAGUAAGGACUCCUGGCAUGGACAUUUGGGUAGUUGGUGAAAUCAAUCCCUGGAAAGAAAAAUUUAAUUUGGGUGGAAAAGGGCCAAGAAGAGAUGUAACCCAUGGCAUCUCCCAACAUUCUUUCCAAACUCGGAAGAUCCAGUCUGCUCUGUGAUGACAUGGCAUUUUCACUUCUUGGAGGUCACUAAGCCUUUGUUUUGAAUAACAGCUAUCUUUAACACAUUGAA